rnacentral:tRNA from 1 species
CGGGACGUAGCGAAGCUUGGCUAUCGCGUCUGCUUUGGGAGCAGAAGACCACGGGUUCGAAUCCCGUCGUCCCGACCA